rnacentral:rRNA from 1 species
CAAGUCGAGCGGACAGAUGGGAGCUUGCUCCCUGAUGUUAGCGGCGGACGGGUGAGUAACACGUGGGUAACCUGCCUGUAAGACUGGGAUAACUCCGGGAAACCGGGGCUAAUACCGGAUGGUUGUUUGAACCGCAUGGUUCAGACAUAAAAGGUGGCUUCGGCUACCACUUACAGAUGGACCCGCGGCGCAUUAGCUAGUUGGUGAGGUAACGGCUCACCAAGGCGACGAUGCGUAGCCGACCUGAGAGGGUGAUCGGCCACACUGGGACUGAGACACGGCCCAGACUCCUACGGGAGGCAGCAGUAGGGAAUCUUCCGCAAUGGACGAAAGUCUGACGGAGCAACGCCGCGUGAGUGAUGAAGGUUUUCGGAUCGUAAAGCUCUGUUGUUAGGGAAGAACAAGUGCCGUUCAAAUAGGGCGGCACCUUGACGGUACCUAACCAGAAAGCCACGGCUAACUACGUGCCAGCAGCCGCGGUAAUACGUAGGUGGCAAGCGUUGUCCCGGAAUUAUUGGGCGUAAAGGGCUCGCAGGCGGUUUCUUAAGUCUGAUGUGAAAGCCCCCGGCUCAACCGGGGAGGGUCAUUGGAAACUGGGGAACUUGAGUGCAGAAGAGGAGAGUGGAAUUCCACGUGUAGCGGUGAAAUGCGUAGAGAUGUGGAGGAACACCAGUGGCGAAGGCGACUCUCUGGUCUGUAACUGACGCUGAGGAGCGAAAGCGUGGGGAGCGAACAGGAUUAGAUACCCUGGUAGUCCACGCCGUAAACGAUGAGUGCUAAGUGUUAGGGGGUUUCCGCCCCUUAGUGCUGCAGCUAACGCAUUAAGCACUCCGCCUGGGGAGUACGGUCGCAAGACUGAAACUCAAAGGAAUUGACGGGGGCCCGCACAAGCGGUGCAGCAUGUGGUUUAAUUCGAAGCAACGCGAAGAACCUUACCAGGUCUUGACAUCCUCUGACAAUCCUAGAGAUAGGACGUCCCCUUCGGGGGCAGAGUGACAGGUGGUGCAUGGUUGUCGUCAGCUCGUGUCGUGAGAUGUUGGGUUAAGUCCCGCAACGAGCGCAACCCUUGAUCUUAGUUGCCAGCAUUCAGUUGGGCACUCUAAGGUGACUGCCGGUGACAAACCGGAGGAAGGUGGGGAUGACGUCAAAUCAUCAUGCCCCUUAUGACCUGGGCUACACACGUGCUACAAUGGACAGAACAAAGGGCAGCGAAACCGCGAGGUUAAGCCAAUCCCACAAAUCUGUUCUCAGUUCGGAUCGCAGUCUGCAACUCGACUGCGUGAAGCUGGAAUCGCUAGUAAUCGCGGAUCAGCAUGCCGCGGUGAAUACGUUCCCGGGCCUUGUACACACCGCCCGUCACACCACGAGAGUUUGUAACACCCGAAGUCGGUGAGGUAACCUUUUAGGAGCCAGCC